GUUUUCCCAGUGGGAACCGUGAGGUUUUGUUAGCCAAUUCCCAUGAUGUUGGAUGUAGAUCUCUUCAGUUUGGGUGUAAUCAGCUCAUGUCCAAGUUUUCGAGCACAGGACUGUGGUGUGGGCAUGUGGUGGAGUUGUCAGAUGCCCCGUCAAGCUGGGUCUGAUCCAGGGGCUGUGAAGAGCCCCUCCCCAGCCUGGCAGCGCCUCUGCCGUGACUCGCCGUGAUGUAUGGAGGUGCCACAGCUUGUUAUGUCACAUCCGUUGAUAACUGCGUGUAAUUAAUUUGAUGCCAUCUGAUGCGGCAGCAGGUUAGACAUUUACGACAUAAAAAGUUGUCCAUGCCCCACGGAGCACAUCUGUUUAAUGGCAUAAUUCAAAUUAAUUUCCAACAAUUCCAUAAGCGCUCCUGGAGCAGUUCCCCGACUGCCUGACGUGCCCGGCACUGCACGAGGCCCCGAGGGCAUUCACUGGCAGCUUGCAGUCUGUGCACGUGAAGCACAUUUUCCUUAAACUCAUACUUUUUAAUAAUUUUAGACCUUCAAUGGUACUGCAAAAAUACUACUCAGACUUUCUGAAUCCUUUCCCUGAGUCCCCAGGCAUUAGGAUCAUCCUUCUUCAGUGAGCUAACCCUCUGUUGAUGUGCCCGUCGACCACACACGGACCUUGCUCAGAGUCCACCCCUCAUCCCCAGAGCUCCUUUCCUGCUCCAGGACCCAGCCAGGGUCCCCCGUGGUGGUCCUUCCUUUCUCCUCUCAACUGGGUAUAGUUCUUCAGUUUCUGCUUCCCAUGACACCGAUGCUAUUUUUCAGAGUACUGUCUUG
rnacentral:lncRNA from 1 species